ACCCAUUCUCACUCCAAAGGCGUCAAAAACCGAAGCAUGGUCAAGCGCCCCUAGCGUCACUUUUAUGACGCCAAAUGUGCCUCUCGGCGUCGACUAUCGAAGCACUACGACCUUCAUUGCUUUCAGUGGGAAACUUUUGGCGUCAGAAUUCGACACGAGGACAUGAGAUGUUUAUCGCUAUGAAAUCACGUUCAAGAAGUCUCAUUCAGCAUACAUCGCGCGAUACUUGCUAUCAGUUCCACAGUUUGGCUGAAAAGACGUAAAGGCAGUCAGCCCAGUGGUGUUUCUGGAGAGGGAUUCCUUCAGAAAUGGAGAAGACAGAAAGCUGCGGAGGCAGAUAUUUGCAGCAGAUUGUUUGAGGAUAACACUGCAGUUCUCCAUCAUGCACAAGGACUCACCUCGUUAACUCUUUAUCCCCCACACACACAGAUAUGGUCCCUGGAUCAGUGAUUAGACUUUGCAGUGGUUUGAUUUUUGCAGAAGAUGUAACUUUGUUUUAUUUAUAAGCUCAUAAUGAAUACAUUACAGAACCAGUGAUGAAAACAAUAGUUAAAAAUAGUAUUUUUCGUAUUGAUAAAGCAUUUUGUUCUCUUUUUCAAGCUUCAUACAGUGAACUUUUUAGACUUUAAUUAAGAGUUUUAGUAAAGGAGAUAUUCAUACACAGUCAUCCCCUAGCUCCAGUCAUGAAGUGAAUUCAUGAUGUUAUUGUCAAAGCUAGCAGGUGUUUGUUUUCCUGAACACUUUCUCUGUCUUCCAUUGUUCAGACAAUCAGUGUUUAUUUGAUGCUGUGCUGAUUGAGUUUUAUAGAUGAUAUUGCACACUUGACAUGCAUGUCUUAAUGGUGUUUUUUUGUGAGUUUGAAACAUUUACAUUGUGUUGUAUAACAUUUUGGUCAAUUUAAUUUUUUUAAUAAAAUUGAUCUUUUUCCAGUGUUCUCUGAAAGACAUACUGUAUUUACUGUUUUGUUUUUUAAUAAAAGCAUUUUCAUUUGCAUACUGAAAAUAGUUAAUGUUUACAACAUAACUGCCUUUUUAUUCUUUAUGGUGGCAAAAACGAGCUUGGUGACAGAGGAUGCAGUGUAGUAAUUUGGGCAUGUUGUCUUUAAAUGAGUUUGACAUAUCAAUAAAUAAUGGAAGA